GAUGAACGCUAGCUACAGGCUUAACACAUGCAAGUCGAGGGGAAACGACAUCGAAAGCUUGCUUUUGAUGGGCGUCGACCGGCGCACGGGUGAGUAACGCGUAUCCCACCUGCCCAUCACUUGGGGAUAACCUUGCGAAAGUAAUACUAAUACCCAAUGAUAUCUCUAGAAGACAUCUGAAAGAGAUUAAAGAUUUAUCGGUUAUGGAUGGGGAUGCGUCUGAUUAGCUUGUUGGCGGGGUAACGGCCCACCAAGGCAACGAUCAGUAGGGGUUCUGAGAGGAAGGGCCCCCAGAAUGGAAACGAGGCACAGUCCAAAAUGCGACGGGGGGCAGGAGUGAGGAAUAAUGGGGAAUGGGGGAGGACCUGAACCAGCCAAGUAGCGUGCAGGAAGACGGCCCUAUGGGUUGUAAACUGCUUUUAUAAGGGAAAAAAGUGAGAGUCGUGACUCUUUUUGUAUGUACCUUAUGAAUAAGGACCGGCUAAUUCCGUG
rnacentral:rRNA from 1 species